CCUACGGGGGGCAGCAGUGAGGAAUAUUGGUCAAUGGGCGUAAGCCUGAACCAGCCAAGUCGCGUGAGGGAUGAAGGUUCUAUGGAUCGUAAACCUCUUUUAUAAGGGAAUAAAGUGUGGGACGUGUCCUAUUUUGUAUGUACCUUAUGAAUAAGGAUCGGCUAACUCCGUGCCAGCAGCCGCGGUAAUACGGAGGGUCCGAGCGUUCUCGGGAUUUAUUGGGUUUAAAGGGUGCGUAGGCGGCCUUUUAAGUCAGCGGUGAAAGUCUGUGGCUCAACCAUAGAAUUGCCGUUGAAACUGGGGGGCUUGAGUAUGUUUGCGGCAGGCGGAAUGCGUGGUGUAGCGGUGAAAUGCUUAGAUAGCACGCAGAACCCCGAUUGCGAAGGCAGCCUGCCAAGCCAUGACUGACGCUGAUGCACGAAAGCGUGGGGAUCAAACAGGAUUAGAUACCCUAGUAGUC
rnacentral:rRNA from 1 species